UCCUGGCUCAGGAUGAACGCUGGCGGCGUGCUUAACACAUGCAAGUCGAACGAAGCCAAAAGGAAGCUUGCUUCUUGAAGCUUAGUGGCGGACGGGUGAGUAACGCGUGAGUAACCUGCCCUUCAGUGGGGAAUAACACAGAGAAAUCUGUGCUAAUACCGCAUAACGUCUUCUUGCCGCAUGACAGGAAGACCAAAGGAUUUAUUCGCUGAAGGAUGGACUCGCGUCCGAUUAGCUAGUUGGUGAGGUAACGGCCCACCAAGGCGACGAUCGGUAGCCGAACUGAGAGGUUGAUCGGCCACAUUGGGACUGAGACACGGCCCAGACUCCUACGGGAGGCAGCAGUGGGGAAUAUUGGGCAAUGGGCGAAAGCCCUGACCCAGCAACGCCGCGUGAAGGAAGACGGUCUUCGGAUUGUAAACUUCUUUGAUUGGGGAAGAAACAAAUGACCUACCCAAAGAACAAGUCACGGCUAACUACGUGCCAGCCGCUGC
rnacentral:rRNA from 1 species